rnacentral:rRNA from 1 species
GUCUGUGGCCAUGCCACCUUGAACAAGCCCGAUGUCUGAUCUCGGAAGCUAAGCAGGGUCGGGCCUGGUUAGUACUUGGAUGGGAGAUCACCUAGGAAGACCAGGUGCUGUAAGCA